rnacentral:rRNA from 1 species
GACGAACGCUGGCGGCGCGCCUAACACAUGCAAGUCGAACGAGCGAGAGAGAGCUUGCUUUCUCGAGCGAGUGGCGAACGGGUGAGUAACGCGUGAGGAACCUGCCUCAAAGAGGGGGACAACAGUUGGAAACGACUGCUAAUACCGCAUAAGCCCACGGGUCGGCAUCGACCAGAGGGAAAAGGAGCAAUCCGCUUUGAGAUGGCCUCGCGUCCGAUUAGCUAGUGGUGAGGUAACGGCCCACCAAGGCGACGAUCGGUAGCCGGACUGAGAGGUUGAACGGCCACAUUGGGACUGAGACACGGCCCAGACUCCUACGGGAGGCAGCAGUGGGGAAUAUUGCACAAUGGGCGCAAGCCUGAUGCAGCCAUGCCGCGUGUAUGAAGAAAGGCCUUCGGGUUGUAAGUAACG